UAGUCCAUUGAGACAGGCCUAGGCAAUACAUGAGCCCUCAGGUGGGUCCUCGUGCUCGUGGUUCGGUCGUGUGUAGAAAAGUACUAUACAUCCAACCUUGCCGGAACUAAAAAGCUACCUAAGGCAAUGCCAUUAGAACCUAUCAUGUCACAUGUGUAAACGUUAGGCACAAAGGUCGGAUGGCGACGCCGUGACGAAAGCCAUGGAACUAGAGGUUAAUAUCGAAAUCGAGAAAAUACAGGCAAAUAUAGGUCAAACAAAUGGAAAAAGAAGUAUCACUCGUUGGUUAUGGACCAACAUAUGCACAAAUAUCAUGCACGACUACAUACGCGCAGAGGCGGUCGCAUGCGUAAAGGUGGUAUGAAUCUCAAAUUGGGUCAGACACAUAGGGUGCAGGUCACGAUUUGAGUCGGACACAGACAAUCGAGUCUGAAAUUUGUAACUUGUGUGUCGUCAAUGA